ensembl:antisense Gm13324 predicted gene 13324
AGAGGAUAUAUCAUCACAUCAAGUGUGAAGACAGAUGUUUGGCCACCCUACCCGUGAGAAGUGUGGGGUGGGGAGCACAGGGCCAUAGCUGCCAUUUCUGUGCCGAAAUAAACCUGCCACAUAAAAGGAAAAGGGUUCCUGAGCUUGAUUAAGACCUAAAAGUAGAGAUUUUUCCUGUUCCGUGCAAUUAUGAGGAGUUUCUCAGCAACACUCAGGAAUACCAAUGAGCAGCUCUAUGGUAACCAAGGAGACAAAUCCACCAGCAAAAUCUUAACCAGGAAUCUUCCAGGACCAGACUCCCUCCCACAACUAAUCUCCACCAGAAAGUGCCAGAGAACAGCAUGACCUGACUCUUAACUCAGAUGACUCUACAUGGGAGUCUGACGCCCCCAAACUCCUCAUGAACCUGAGAAAGUUCAGACUUUCUAGAUGCUUCUUAGAGAGAAGAAUGAUCAGUCACUGUGAUGCCGACCCUAGCUGGGAGCUACAGCGUUGCCAGGAAACAUCCAGCUCGUUGAAAUUAUUGCCUUUCCAGCAGAGUAUAUUUUACAUAAAAUAUGCCCCAAAUA